rnacentral:rRNA from 1 species
CUACGGGGGGAGCAAGCGUUGUCCGGAAUCAUUGGGCGUAAAGGGCACGUAGGCGGUUUCUUAAGUCGAAUGUGAAAUCUCACGGCUCAACCGUGAAACUGCGUUCGAAACUAAGUGACUAGAGUUUGGGAGAGGUGUACGGAAUUCCUGGUGUAGCGGUGGAAUGCGUAGAUAUCAGGAAGAACACCAAUGGCGAAGGCAGUACACUGGCCUGAAACUGACGCUGAGGUGCGAAAGCGUGGGGAGCAAACAGGAUUAGAAACCCCGGUAGUCC